rnacentral:rRNA from 2 species
CAUGAUUUACAUUUGAGUGAGUGGCGAACUGGUGAGUAACACGUGGGAAACCUGCCCAGAAGCGGGGGAUAACACCUGGAAACAGAUGCUAAUACCGCAUAACAACUUGGACCGCAUGGUCCGAGCUUGAAAGAUGGCUUCGGCUAUCACUUUUGGAUGGUCCCGCGGCGUAUUAGCUAGAUGGUGGGGUAACGGCUCACCAUGGCAAUGAUACGUAGCCGACCUGAGAGGGUAAUCGGCCACAUUGGGACUGAGACACGGCCCAAACUCCUACGGGAGGCAGCAGUAGGGAAUCUUCCACAAUGGACGAAAGUCUGAUGGAGCAACGCCGCGUGAGUGAAGAAGGGUUUCGGCUCGUAAAACUCUGUUGUUAAAGAAGAACAUAUCUGAGAGUAACUGUUCAGGUAUUGACGGUAUUUAACCAGAAAGCCACGGCUAACUACGUGCCAGCAGCCGCGGUAAUACGUAGGUGGCAAGCGUUGUCCGGAUUUAUUGGGCGUAAAGCGAGCGCAGGCGGUUUUUUAAGUCUGAUGUGAAAGCCUUCGGCUCAACCGAAGAAGUGCAUCGGAAACUGGGAAACUUGAGUGCAGAAGAGGACAGUGGAACUCCAUGUGUAGCGGUGAAAUGCGUAGAUAUAUGGAAGAACACCAGUGGCGAAGGCGGCUGUCUGGUCUGUAACUGACGCUGAGGCUCGAAAGUAUGGGUAGCAAACAGGAUUAGAUACCCUGGUAGUCCAUACCGUAAACGAUGAAUGCUAAGUGUUGGAGGGUUUCCGCCCUUCAGUGCUGCAGCUAACGCAUUAAGCAUUCCGCCUGGGGAGUACGGCCGCAAGGCUGAAACUCAAAGGAAUUGACGGGGGCCCGCACAAGCGGUGGAGCAUGUGGUUUAAUUCGAAGCUACGCGAAGAACCUUACCAGGUCUUGACAUACUAUGCAAAUCUAAGAGAUUAGACGUUCCCUUCGGGGACAUGGAUACAGGUGGUGCAUGGUUGUCGUCAGCUCGUGUCGUGAGAUGUUGGGUUAAGUCCCGCAACGAGCGCAACCCUUAUUAUCAGUUGCCAGCAUUAAGUUGGGCACUCUGGUGAGACUGCCGGUGACAAACCGGAGGAAGGUGGGGAUGACGUCAAAUCAUCAUGCCCCUUAUGACCUGGGCUACACACGUGCUACAAUGGAUGGUACAACGAGUUGCGAACUCGCGAGAGUAAGCUAAUCUCUUAAAGCCAUUCUCAGUUCGGAUUGUAGGCUGCAACUCGCCUACAUGAAGUCGGAAUCGCUAGUAAUCGCGGAUCAGCAUGCCGCGGUGAAUACGUUCCCGGGCCUUGUACACACCGCCCGUCACACCAUGAGAGUUUGUA